UUCCACUUUCCCCCUACUCCUGAAUGUCUAAAGAACUCUCAAUGCAUAUUAGCCAUCACCAUGGUUGAGACCCAGACCUCUGCAGAGACAAUCUUGAUCCUCUGGCUCCUGCUUCACAUUGCCCAUUCACCCUCAGCACUGAAAUCCUUACCUCAAGCGCUGGGAAUUCAGGCCAUGGAAGAUUAGGAGGCUCACAGCAGUGGAAUGCUGCUCCAAGAAGAAUUCUGAUUACAUUUUUCCAUGUCGUUGUUAUGGAAGCUGUAUCUAUAUAAAGUGGGAAGAUGCCAAUAAGGGUCCUUGCUCCUUGAGUGUAAGCUCCCCUAUCUUUAAUCUCUCUGUUGGUCUAGAAGUGUGGUAAGCAACCCUGGUUGCACACGACAACCUUUUGAGCAGCCUUCAAAAUACAGAUAUCUGGGCCCCAAUUUCCGAGAUUCUGAUUUAAACGGUGGAGUCCAUGCAUCUACUUUUUAAGCACCAAGGCAAUCCCAUUGUGUGCAUAUCAGAGUACAAUAUAACUGAUUGAGAACAUGGAGUCAUUGGAAGUAGAAAAUGCCAUUCACUAUCAAAUCAUCAUAAAGAUGAAAUAACUAUUCCACUGAUAAUACACCUGAUCACCCAAGUACCCACUCAGCUAUUCUGUUCACCCACAGCUCUUCAGAUACAGCUUUUCUUCCAGAUGCUCAGAAAAGUGUGAUAACAUAGUAAUUUAUUCCUGCUCCUGCCCAUUGAUCUCCAAGCUUGUGAAAAUGGGAAAAUAAGGAAUGUCUAGGCACUUUACUGAUACAUGUCCUUGGUAUAAUGUUACACUUAAAAUUUACAGUUGGGGAUGGAUUUUCAGCCAGCUUCCAUGUGCCCAGUCGAGGGCACUAGUGACUGGCUUGCUACUUGUAUGCAGUUGGUACAAUUUGCUCAUCUCAGAGGUGUGGGGAGGCAGAGUCUAUCAGAGAUUGUUCAUGAAGGUAGCUGCAGUAGUACCAAAGUGAGGUGCUGAACAGGAGUGAUGGGGUAAAGGCAGCUCAGUAAGACAGGGGCAAGCAGUCCCACAUCUUGUCCCUAACUCACUGUUCUGAACUGCCAUCCUAUCUUCCCACUUUUGCCUCAGGAGCAAGUUAUCCUUCAAGAUUCAGGACAAAUGUCACUUCCUCAGUGAAGCCUUCUCUCCCUCCUUGGUGUCUCCAUAAUACUCUGCUUAGACUUCACAUAUAUCAUGUGUUUUCCUACUAGAUUCUGAACUCCCCGAGAGCGGCAACCCAUAUCUUAACUCUCUUUGCAUCAACAGAGCCCAAUACAAUGCCUGGCACAGAGUAAGCCUCAAAUAUGUCUAUGAUAUAAAUUUUCUAAUAAAA
rnacentral:lncRNA from 10 species